rnacentral:rRNA from 1 species
CUACCAUGGCAGUCACGGGUAACGGGGAAUUAGGGUUCGAUUCCGGAGAGGGAGCCUGAGAAACGGCUACCACAUCUAAGGAAGGCAGCAGGCGCGUAAAUUACCCAAUCCUGACUCAGGGAGGUAGCGACAAGAAAUAACAACUCGGGGCCUCACGGCUUACGAGAUUGCAAUGAGAACAAUUUAAACCACUUAUCUAGGAACAAUUGGAGGGCAAGUCUGGUGCCAGCAGCCGCGGUAAUUCCAGCUCCAAUAGCGUAUAUUAAUGUUGUUGCAGUUAAAAAGCUCGUAGUUGAAUGUCUGGUUAAAAUAUUAGCUGGCUUCGGUCGUUAAUGUUUUAAUCAUCCGUUAGAGAACUAUAGCCGUCCUUAACUGGUCACUAUAGAGAUCUAACAUUUUACUUUGAAAAAAUUAGAGUGUUCAAGGCAGGCAAUCGUCAUGAAUACUAUAGCAUGGAAUAAUGGAAUAGGACUUUGGUUCAUUUUAUUGGUUAUUGAACCUUAGUAAUGAUUAACAGGGACAGUUGGGGGCAUUAGUAUUUAAUUGUCAGAGGCGAAAUUCUUGGAUUUAUUAAAGACUAACUUAUGCGAAAGCAUUUGCCAAGGAUGUUUUCAUUAAUCAA